rnacentral:rRNA from 1 species
GUAAACGGCGGCCGUAACUAUAACGGUCCUAAGGUAGCGAAAUUCCUUGUCGGGUAAGUUCCGACCUGCACGAAUGGCGUAACGAUUUCCGCGCUGUCUCAACCAGUGGCUCAGCGAAAUUGAAUUCUCGGUGAAGAUGCCGAGUACCCGCGGUAAGACGGAAAGACCCCGUGAACCUUUACUAUAGCUUGACAGUGACAUUCGGAAUAGCUUGUGUAGGAUAGGUGGGAGACUUUGAAGCCGGCACGCUAGUGUCGGUGGAGUCGUCCUUGAAAUACCACCCUGGUUGUUUUGGAUGUCUAACCUGGGCCCGUAAUCCGGGUCGGGGACACUGUCUGGUGGGUAGUUUGACUGGGGCGGUCGCCUCCCAAAGAGUAACGGAGGCGCGCGAAGGUUCCCUCAGGUUGAUUGGAAACCAACCGUAGAGUGCAAUGGCAUAAGGGAGCUUGACUGCGAGACCAACAAGUCGAGCAGGUACGAAAGUAGGUCAUAGUGAUCCGGCGGUUCUGUAUGGAAGGGCCGUCGCUCAACGGAUAAAAGGUACUCCGGGGAUAACAGGCUGAUCUCCCCCAAGAGUUCACAUCGACGGGGAGGUUUGGCACCUCGAUGUCGGCUCAUCGCAUCCUGGGGCUGAAGUAGGUCCCAAGGGUUUGGCUGUUCGCCAAUUAAAGCGGUACGCGAGCUGGGUUUAAAACGUCGUGAGACAGUUUGGUCCCUAUCUACCGUGGGCGCAGGAUACUUGAGAAGAGCUGUCCUUAGUACGAGAGGACCGGGAUGGACGUACCGCUGGUGUUCCAGUUGUUCCGCCAGGAGCAGUCGCUGGGUAGCUACGUACGGAAAGGAUAACCGCUGAAAGCAUCUAAGCGGGAAGCCUCCUUCAAGAUUAGGUAUCCCUGGGUGUAACAACCCCUAAAGGCCCGUUGGAGACUACAACGUUGAUAGGCCGGGUGUGUAAGUACAGUAAUGUACUCAGCUUACCGGUACUAAUCGGCCGUGAGGCUUGACCAU